GCGGCCGCUGCUUCUCGCUGCCUCAUCGGGCGCCUUUGAGGUCCUUCCGACGGCGGGCGGGCGCGCGGCCGGCCCGGAGGCCUGGUGGGAUCAGCGGCGGCCCCUCCCCAUUCCCCGGGGCGGCUGGGGCGAGGGAGCAAGUUCGGGACUCGGGGUGAGCCAGGCAGGGCUAAUCCAGGCGGUGGCGGCGUUGCGGGCGCCUCUGAACGCGCGAGGACGAAGCGUCAGACUCCACUGGAAGUUUUCGGGACCCUCUUUGACCCCUCCGUGAAGGUGCCCCAACUCAGGCGGUUCGAAGAGGGCUGGGCUAGGCGGGGCUUUGGCUAGAACGGCCACGCGACCGAUAACCCAACACAGUCAGCCGGUCAGCAGAACUGGACCGCCCCAUCACCUGGGCCGGGCGCCUCCCCCUCGCGAUGCUCAACGGGACCAGCGCCACAGCAGAGCUGGCUGCUCAUCUCACAAAUGUGACCCUGGGCGGUGCGUGGUCAAAGAUGCCACACUGGAUUGCUGGGAGAGGUUGGAACCAAAGGAGGUUGAGCUGGAAAUCUCCCACAGUCUUGUUACCAUCAGGCAGUCGAGGGGUCGAGAGGCCAGCUGCAGCUGUCCGUGUGCAGGAAACCCUAAGGGGGAAAGGGUUAGGGUUGGGGUGGCUUCUGAUCAAGCAAAUGGCAUUCUGGAGCCCCUCCAGAAAGAGAAGCUGGCUGCUACUGUACGGGACCGUUCCAGAAUCCAGGCCUCUUUGCUUACUCCCUCGCCUAGGAGAAAAAAGAUCAAAAGUCUGGGGGUCUGGGGAAGGGUACCGCCUGCUCUGCCUUGGCCCCCUCCCCCCCCCCCAAAAAAACAACUUGGCUGCUUGUGCAGCAGGAACAUCCCUAACCGUUUUUUCAUUUGUUCUCAUGGUCGUGCUCCGGCGGCUGUUCUUAGGAAUUGUUGCCAUCUUUUUGACCCCCAUUAUGAUACUUUAAAAAAAAAAAUAGACAAGCCACACUGAAGUAUUUGCAGAACCCCCUUUUCCAAAAAAACAGCAGCACUUGCACCUUUCUGAAAUUUGGCUGGGACUGGAUCUUCACCCCCUCGGCGCGUUACGCGAUGCGUUGUCUGAGGAGAGUCUUCAGAACACCCCUGGCACAAUGGACAAGGCAGCCUUCCCACAACCAUCUGGAACCCUUUGCGGGUUUGGUCCCCAAAUGGGGAAAAUGUGCCCCCAAACUGUCAGUUCAGCUUGUCAAGUAACAAGGCUGUUCGUAGCAGCUCUGCGCUCCAGCCCCUUUGGGGGUGUCUUGUGAAUCCACCUGGGGCAAAUGCCUUGACUGGGGCACAUCCCAGCCACUGCUGCCAUGGACAACCCUCCCCUCCCCCUCCCCCUCC